rnacentral:rRNA from 1 species
UGGGGAAUAUUGGACAAUGGGCGAAAGCCUGAUCCAGCCAUGCCGCGUGUGUGAAGAAGGUCUUCGGAUUGUAAAGCACUUUAAGUUGGGAGGAAGGGCAGUAAGCGAAUACCUUGCUGUUUUGACGUUACCGACAGAAUAAGCACCGGCUAACUCUGUGCCAGCAGCCGCGGUAAUACAGAGGGUGCAAGCGUUAAUCGGAAUUACUGGGCGUAAAGCGCGCGUAGGUGGUUCGUUAAGUUGAAUGUGAAAGCCCCGGGCUCAACCUGGGAACUGCAUCCAAAACUGGCGAGCUAGAGUAGGGCAGAGGGUAGUGGGAUUUCCUGUGUAGGGGUGAAAUGCGUAGAUAUAGGAAGGAACACCAGUGGCGAAGGCGACCACCUGGGCUCAUACUGACACUGGGGUGCGAAAGCGUGGGGAACAAACAGG